CUAAGGCGAGGCCGACAGGCGUAGUCGAUGGACAACCAGUUGAUAUUCUGGUACCGCGUUAUGACCGCCCAUGCUGAAGUCAUUGUGCUAACCAAUCUGCUCACGCCGCCACUGAGCCUUCGGGUUUGUUGGUGUGUGUGGGUCUUGGGGCCCCGGUGAUUGUAGGCAAGCGUGUUAACAGGGGUGACGCAGACAGGUAGCUGCAGUGCGCCGAUGGUUGUGCGUAUUUAAGGUUGUGGCCCGUCCUCCAGGCAAAUCCGGGGGACACUGAGGGUGAGAACUGAUGAGGGACACACGCGUGUGUGGACUUGUGGUGAUCCUAAGCUGCCGAGAAAAGCCUCGACGUGAGGGCAUAACGCGCCCGUACCCUAAACCGACUCAGGUGGUCAGGUAGAGUAUACCGAGGCGUUCGAGUGAAUCGUGGUUAAGGAACUCGGCAAAAUUCCUCCGUAACUUCGGGAUAAGGAGGACCCCGUGGUUUCCCAACACCGUGCGUGUUGGUGGGGCCGUGGGGUCGCAGAGAAUAGGGAGAAGCGACUGUUUAUCAAAAACACAGGUGCGUGCGAAGCCGUAAGGCGAUGUAUACGCACUGACGCCUGCCCGGUGCUGGAAGGUUAAGAGGAACCGUCAACAUCCUUCGGGGUGUGAAGCGGUGAAUUUAAGCCCCAGUAAACGGCGGUGGUAACUAUAACCAUCCUAAGGUAGCGAAAUUCCUUGUCGGGUAAGUUCCGACCUGCACGAAUGGCGUAACGACUUCUCCGCUGUCUCAACCGCGAACUCGGUGAAAUUGCAGUACGAGUAAAGAUGCUCGUUUCGCGCAGAAGGACGGAAAGACCCCGGGACCUUUACUAUAGCUUGGUAUUGGUGUUCGCUUGGACUUGUGUAGGAUAGGUGGGAGACUGUGAAGCUGCCGCGCCAGCGGUGGUGGAGUCGUCGUUGAAAUACCAUUCUGGUUCAAGCGGUCACCUCAACCUAGACCCGUGAUCCGGGUUGGGGACAGUGCCUGGUGGGUAGUUUAACUGGGGCGGUUGCCUCCUAAAAUGUAACGGAGGCGCUCAAAGGUUCCCUCAGCCUGGUUGGUAAUCAGGUGGCGAGUGCAAGUGUACAAGGGAGCUUGACUGUGAGACCGACGGGUCGAGCAGGUGCGAAAGCAGGAACUAGUGAUCCGGCCAUGGCACGUGGGUGCGUGGUCGCUCAACGGAUAAAAGGUACCCCGGGGAUAACAGGCUGAUCUUGCCCAAGAGUCCAUAUCGACGGCAUGGUUUGGCACCUCGAUGUCGGCUCGUCGCAUCCUGGGGCUGGAGCAGGUCCCAAGGGUUGGGCUGUUCGCCCAUUAAAGCGGUACGCGAGCUGGGUUUAGAACGUCGUGAGACAGUUCGGUCCCUAUCCUCUGCGCGCGCAGGAGACUUGAGAAGACCUGUCCCUAGUACGAGAGGACCGGGACGGACGAACCUCUGGUAUGCCAGUUGUUCCGCCAGGAGCACGGCUGGUUAGCUACGUCCGGACAUGGAUAACCGCUGAAAGCAUCUAAGCGGGAAACCAUCUUCAAGACCAGGUCUCCACCACCCCCUCCUUUCUUUUUCGCUAUAGUGAAUAGAGGGGAGGGGUGGGAAGGCCCCCAGAUGAUGACUGGGUUGAUAGGCCGGAGGUGGACACCCAGUAACGGGCACCAAGCCGACCGGUACUAACACGGCCGAUCACACACAA
rnacentral:rRNA from 1 species